AAGUCGUAACAAGGUUUCCGUAGAGCGGCGAUGAAGGUUCACGGGGUUUUUAACGUUGGAUACGUGUUAAUGAUCCUUCCGCAGGUUCACCUCAUGGCUAAGUCUUGGAUAAAGCCAAACAGCAAUCCCUGCACUCGUCCGAGAAUGCAAGAGGAGGGACCUCUGUUUGACAGAGCACUAUGGGUUUAAGAGCGCUUGGUAAGGUGGCUUGUUUUUCCCCAAACAGUCAGUGAAUGACAGUGUCGCUGAUUGUCUAAGGAUUUCGCUUUACGAUCACUGUAGGUCGAUUACCGACCGGUGGAACAAGUCACAGGGCUUCGGCUCCCUCCCCAACCCCACUUUCUAUUGCCGCUCCGCGCUAACACGCCGGGCAUUUAAAAACGUUUAAACAACUGUUAACAAUGGAUAUCUUGGUUCUC
rnacentral:misc_RNA from 1 species